GAUACCCAAAAGGGUAACCUUAGUUAAUGAUGGGCUAACUAAGGUUACAUAUAUGUAACCAUGGUUACAAGCUUGUGACUCUUGAGUUAUGUAACUCUUAGGUUAUGUAACUCUUUUGUUAUAAAGUGGGGGUUAUGGUUCCCACGUUAUUGCAAGACAAGACUCUUUUUCCUCCCAUUGAAUCAAGAGCAAAAACACCAUUGUUGUCUUGCAAAUAAUUGU
rnacentral:lncRNA from 1 species